UACGUAGGGGGCUAGCGUUGUCCGGAAUCAUUGGGCGUAAAGCGCGUGUAGGCGGUCCGGUAAGUCCGCUGUGAAAGUCGGGGGGCUCAACCCUCGGAUGCCGGUGGAGUACUGUCGGGCUUGAGUACGGAAGAGGCGGAGUGGAAUUCCGUGGUGUAGCGGUGAAAUGACGCAGAUAGUCAAGGAGGAACACCAAUUGCGA
rnacentral:rRNA from 1 species